rnacentral:rRNA from 1 species
GCUGGAUUCGCUAGUAAUCGCGCAUCAGCCACGGCGCGGUGAAUACGUUCCCGGGCCCUUGUACACACCGCCCGUCAAGCCAUGGAAGCCGGGGGUGCCUGAAGUGCGCUGCCGCAAGGAGCGCCCUAGGGUAAAACCGGUGACUGGGGCUAAGUCGUAACAAGGUAGC